UACGGGGGGAGCAAGCGUUGUUCGGAUUUACUGGGCGUAAAGGGCGCGUAGGCGGUCAGCACAAGUCAGUUGUGAAAUCUCCGGGCUUAACUCGGAACGGUCAACUGAUACUGUUUUGCUAGAGUACAGAAGGGGCAAUCGGAAUUCUUGGUGUAGCGGUGAAAUGCGUAGAUAUCAAGAGGAACACCUGAGGUGAAGACGGGUUGCUGGGCUGAUACUGACGCUGAGGCGCGAAAGCUAGGGUAGCAAACGGG
rnacentral:rRNA from 1 species